rnacentral:lncRNA from 1 species
AUGCUCACAAUGUCUGUACCUGUAUGUGUUUCCAUAGCAGCCCAUUUAAAGGACUGCAUUUGGAGUGGUGACUCUGUUUCCUUCUUUUGCAGUGUAUUUAUGGAAAACCUGCAGGGUCUGUUUUCACCACAAAUGCAUAUGCUGUUGUCUCACAUCACAACCAAAAUCCAGAGUUCUAUGAUGAGAUUAAAAUUGAGCUUCCCAUUCACCUGCAUCAAAAACAUCAUUUGCUUUUCACCUUUUAUCAUGUAAGUUGUGAAAUUAACACAAAGGGAACAACCAAAAAGCAGGACACAGUUGAAACACCAGGUAUGUGAGUUAUUUAAUUUCUUUUAAUUUUUUUUGUGGUGUGGGGAAUCAAACCCAGGGUUGUACACUCUUUAGAUGUCUCUCUACAGCUGUCUGAAAUGGAACUGUCUGGGAUAUAACCUCUUUUCAUCAAGCUGUAGACCAUUUUCCCCCUUGAACAAAAAGUACAUUUCUGAGUUUAAAAGUUCCUUGAUCACAGUGAUAUACACCUGUAGUCCCAGCUACUUGGGGGGCUUAGGCAGAAAGAUCACUUGAGCCCAGGAGUUUGAGGCCAGCCUAGGCAACAUAGAAAGACCCAUCUCCUUGCCAGAAGAAUAGUUCAUUGGCAAAAAAUGAGUUGUAUAUGGAUUUUAUAUCCCUUAUACUGAGUAUCAUUGUCCUCACAUCCCAAUAUGCUUGCCAAUGUGCUUAAACUGCGAUAAGCAACAUAAAGUAAUAUUGCUGUUCUCAGAGGGAAACACAUAUUGUGAUACAGUAUUGUUAUUUCUUUUAUGUAAAUUUGCCCAGCAACCAGAAUUUUCCAGUUCUGCUUACUGAGGAAGAGGGAAGUGAGCCCAGAGCCAGGGACAUCUGUGAGCCGGAGGGAGGUUGGGGGCUGCCUGUUUCUAAUGAGAAGAGAACAGAUUUAAUGAAGUUGAAUAAGCUUUAGUAGAGAAGUGCAAGUCCUGGUCCCAUUUCAGCAAGGCUUUAGAUAAACCAGUGGGAAGCAGCCUUAGGAGACAUUGAAGGCCUGCAAGUAUAGCCCAUGUCACACCCACUUCAUGUAUGUCGUGUCCUGGGAUGCAAAUCAAGCCAGCCUGGAUCAAUCAAUCAAUCAUUCAUUCACUCAUUCAGCAAAUAUGUCUGUGUAUUUAUUAUGUGCAAGAUAUUGUAGUAGGUAUUAUGGAGAAUACAAUGAAGAAUGCAACACAGAUCUCAACUUCAGUGAGCAUAUGAUCUAGUUGGGAAAGUGAGUCCUAUGUAGACAUAUACAGGAUAGAAAGUGGUGAUUGCCAAGAAAGCCAUUCUGUGUGAACUCAGAGAAUAGUGAGUUAUUCAGCUGGUGGAAAGACAAGUAGCUGAUAGUUGAGGAAGGAAGUGAAGGUCCUAAAGGAUAUGCUGGAUUCUGGGAUGAAGGAAGAGCUUGUAAAGGGUUAGCAUACUGAGGGGUAGCAUGUCAAGUUAAAAAGGAGGCAUCAGAUUGUGGAAAGCCUGGAAUGCCAGGCUGUGGAUUUGAUUUUAUUCUGUCACCAAUAUGGUACUAUCAAAGGUUCAUAAACACUAGUAAGAACUGUUGUGGAAGAAAAGGAAUCAGGCGGUAACGUAAAGGGCAAGGAAAUUUGGAGCAGGAAGCAGGAAGGUCAGAAGAAAUACCAGUUAGGGAGCUUUUUCAAAGGUCCAGAAGAGGAAAGAGGCCACAUUGUGAUAGUGUCAGGAAGGCACAGAAAAAGGGAAUUACAGAAAAAGUGUAAGUCUCCUUACUAUCUAUGCAUUCCUCAUCCAUGUAUUCAAUCAACUGUGAAUUAAAAAUAUUUUUAAAGUUGGAUCUGAACUAAAUAUGUAUAUACUGUUUUCCUUCUCAUCAGUUCCAAAACAAUGCAAUAAAACAACUAUUUAUAUUGCA